rnacentral:lncRNA from 1 species
CCAACUGGACCAUCAGCUGCUCCCUCCAGCCACAGUACCCAGGAGGCUCCUUCCUGCUCACCUUCACCUCCUCCAACUCAAGACACUACUACACCCAGCCAACUGUCAAUCACUCUGCCGACUUCCUGUUCCCUGCUGCAGAGCCCGCCCACCAUGGAAACUACAGCUGUGUUUAUCACGUCUCUGUUUUUUCUCAUAACUUCUUCUCUGAGAGCCGUCUGCUGUCUCUCACUGUCUCAGAUGUUGGCUCAGAUCCGACACCUCUUAUCAUCAGAGCGGUCGUCCUGCCGCUGACUCUGCUGUUGGUGAACGUGGCCCUUUACUUCUACUGUCAGGCCAGCAGGGGGCAGAAGCCGGGCAGACGAGAGAACAUGGAGCUGGAAGAUUAUAACCUGGAUGUUCCUGCAGCUGAAGAGGAAGGAGCUCAGGGAGCAGAGUAGCACCUCAUCUCACAUCCAGAAGCAUUUCUGACACACAGUCCAGCAUCAGCUCACUUUUAUACA